rfam:Camelus ferus unplaced genomic scaffold scaffold45, whole genome shotgun sequence.
GAGGGUACAGCUCGUGGUAGAGCGUGUGCUUAGCAUGCACAAGGUCCUGAGUUCAAUCCCCAGUACCUCCA